rnacentral:rRNA from 1 species
CCGAUGGAGGGGGAUAACUACUGGAAACGGUAGCUAAUACCGCAUAACGUCGCAAGACCAAAGAGGGGGACCUUGGGCCUCUUGCCAUCGGAUGUGCCCAGAUGGGAUUAGCUAGUAGGUGGGGUAAAGGCUCACCUAGGCGACGAUCCCUAGCUGGUCUGAGAGGAUGACCAGCCACACUGGAACUGAGACACGGUCCAG